UAUGGCCAUAUCGUUGAAGCAUUAGUUCCCAUAUGAUCACUGAAGCUACUAAGCAACAUAGAGCCUUGUCAGUACCUAGAUGGGUGACCACUUAGAAAUAUCAGGUGCUGUAAG